rnacentral:rRNA from 1 species
GACGAAGGGGGCUAGCGUUGUUCGGAAUUACUGGGCGUAAAGCGCGUGUAGGCGGUUGCCCAAGUCGGGUGUGAAAGCCUUGAGCUCAACUCAAGAAAUGCACUCGGUACUGGAUGACUAGAGGACCGGAGAGGAUAGUGGAAUUCCCAGUGUAGUGGUGAAAUACGUAGAGAUUGGGAAGAACACCAGUGGCGAAGGCGGCUAUCUGGACGGUUUCUGACGCUAAGACGCGAAAGCGUGGGGAGCAAACAGG